rnacentral:rRNA from 1 species
UACGGAGGGUGCAAGCGUUAUCCGGAUUCACUGGGUUUAAAGGGUGCGUAGGUGGGUUGGUAAGUCAGUGGUGAAAUCUCCGUGCUUAACAUGGAAACUGCCAUUGAUACUACUGGUCUUGAAUUUUCCGGAGGUAAGCGGAAUAUGUCAUGUAGCGGUGAAAUGCUUAGAUAUGACAUAGAACACCGAUUGCGAAGGCAGCUUACUACAGGGACAUUGACACUGAGGCACGAAAGCGUGGGGAUCAAACAGG